rnacentral:rRNA from 1 species
AUGAACGCUGGCGGCGUGCCUAAUACAUGCAAGUCGAGCGAACGGACGAGAAGCUUGCUUCUCUGAUGUUAGCGGCGGACGGGUGAGUAACACGUGGAUAACCUACCUAUAAGGCUGGGAUAACUUCGGGAAACCGGAGCUAAUACCGGAUAAUAUUUUGAACCGCAUGUUUCAAAAGUGAAAGACGGUCUUGCUGUCACUUAUAGAUGGAUCCGCGCUGCAUUAGCUAGUUGGUAAGGUAACGGCUUACCAAGGCAACGAUGCAUAGCCGACCUGAGAGGGUGAUCGGCCACACUGGAACUGAGACACGGUCCAGACUCCUACGGGAGGCAGCAGUAGGGAAUCUUCCGCAAUGGGCGAAAGCCUGACGGAGCAACGCCGCGUGAGUGAUGAAGGUCUUCGGAUCGUAAAACUCUGUUAUUAGGGAAGAACAUAUGUGUAAGUAACUGUGCACAUCUUGACGGUACCUAAUCAGAAAGCCACGGCUAACUACGUG